GAUCAUUACAGAAUGAAAAGUGCUUAACUGCAUUUUUUCUUACACAUGUGUUUUUCUUUUUUUGAAAACUUUGCUUUGGUAGGCCUUCUAUAUGGGGCCUGCCAGAGAUUAAACUCAACCAAAUUUUAUUUAAUGUCAACCGAUUAUUUAAUAGUCAAAACUUUCAACAACGGAUCUCUUGGUUCUCGCAUCGAUGAAGAACGCAGCGAAAUGCGAUAAGUAAUAUGAAUUGCAGAUAUUCGUGAAUCAUCGAAUCUUUGAACGCACAUUGCGCCCUUUGGUAUUCCAAAGGGCAUGCCUGUUUGAGCGUCAUUUCUCCCUCAAACCCUCGGGUUUGGUGUUGAGCGAUACGCUGGGUUUGCUUGAAAGAAAGGCGGAGUAUAAACUAAUGGAUAGGUUUUUUCCACUCAUUGGUACAAACUCCAAAACUUCUUCCAAAUUCGACCUCAAAUCAGGUAGGACUACCCGCUGAACUUAAGCAUAUCAAUAAGC
rnacentral:misc_RNA from 1 species